UGGGGAAUUUUUCGCAAUGGGGGAAACCCUGACGAAGCAACGCCGCGUGGAGGAUGAAGGCCUUCGGGUCGUAAACUCCUGUCGACCGGGAAGAAUGCACCUGACCUAAUACGUCGGCGUGUUGACUGUACCGGUGGAGGAAGCCACGGCUAACUCUGUGCCAGCAGCCGCGGUAAUACAGAGGUGGCAAGCGUUGUUCGGAAUUACUGGGCGUAAAGGGCGCGUAGGCGGUUUGCCAAGUCCCGUGUGAAAGCCCCCGGCUCAACCGGGGAACGGCGCGGGAAACUAGCAGGCUUGAGUUCGGGAGAGGGAAGCGGAAUUUCGGGUGUAGCGGUGAAAUGCGCAGAUAUCCGAAGGAACACCGGUGGCGAAGGCGGCUUCCUGGACCGACACUGACGCUGAGGCGCGAAAGCUAGGGGAGCAAACGGGAUUAGAUACCCCGGUAGUCCUAGCCCUAAACGAUGAGAACUGGGUGUAGAGGGUAUGAACCCCUUCUGUGCCGAAGCUAACGCAUUAAGUCUCCGCCUGGGGAUACGGUC
rnacentral:rRNA from 1 species